rnacentral:rRNA from 1 species
GACGAACGCUGGCGGCGUGCUUAACACAUGCAAGUCGAACGGAAAGGCCCCUUUUGGGGUACUCGAGUGGCGAACGGGUGGGUAACACGUGCGUAACCUGCCCUUGACUUCGGGAUAACUUCAUGAAACUGGGGCUAAUACCUGAUAGGAAUCCUUGCUUCAUGGUGGGGGUUGGAAAGCUUCGGCGGGUUUGGAUGGACUCGCGGCUUAUCAGCUUGUUGGUUGGGUAGUGGCUUACCAAGGCUUUGACGGGUAGCCGGCCUGAGAGGGCGACCGGCCACAUUGGGACUGAGAUACGGCCCAGACUCCUACGGGAGGCAGCAGUGGGGAAUAUUGCACCAUGGGCGGGAGCCUGAUGCAGCAACGGCGCGUGCGGGAUGAAGGCCUUCGGGUUGUAAACCGCUUUCAGCAGGGGAGAAGCUUGUGGUGACGGUACCUGCAGAAGAAGCACCGGCUAACUACGUG